rnacentral:lncRNA from 1 species
CACUGGUUGGUCCAAGAAGUCAAGCUGAGAUACGUUAGUCAAACUGAUAUCUCUCAUAGGACACGGUGAGUUUUUAUACAUACAGAGUAGCAUUCUGUUUGUGAGAUGUGGCGUAAGUGAUGUUAUGGGUAUAGGCCUAUGAAAUGCUUUGAUUAAGCUCCAUUAUGUGUCUUUCAUAUUUGAUGGAAAACCAUAUCUAUUAAGGCAUUAGGGAAGACAGGUCAGAUGUUAGGUACGGACUAGGGAGGGUACGGGUAGAGGAAGACAGGUCAGAUGUUAGGUACGGACUAGGGAUGGUACAGGUAGAGGAAGACAGGUCAGAUGUUAGGUCCGGACUAGGGAGGGUACGGGUAGAGGAAGACAGGUCAGAUGUUAGGUUCGGACUAGGGAGGGUACAGGUAGAGGAAGACAGGUACAGACCAGGGUCAGAUGUAAGGAUCAGGGAGGGUUCAGGUAGAGGAAGACAGUAAAGAUUGAUGAUAAUGGAUAGUUAAUACACUGGAUGAUGUGGGGGGGGGGGUGUAAGGGGAGGGGUGAGGGUAAGGGGAGGUGAUGGUAGGGGAAGGUGGAGGUAAGGGGAGGGUAAGAAGAAGGGUGAGGGUAUUGGGAUGAGGGAUGUGGUAGGGUCAGAUUUAUUUAGGUCAAAAUGACUGUUUCCCUUCUGAUCGUGAUGGGUUGUGAUUACUGUAGUAGUUAAUGACUAACUGACCCGCUCCACCCACUCACACCCAUUGGUCACUAGUCCUUCCAUACAGACAGACAGAGAGGGGUAUUUGACCACUGUGUUAUCCUCAAGGUUGGAAGACAUGGACAGUGGUCAGGAGCAGCUUUCUGGUACCGGUGGGAAAACUCUGAAGUUUUGAAAACCUUGACAGACCCAAAUUGAAAGCAAUUGCAUAAAACUACUAUAGAUUUGUUCUACUCCUGACUAGUUUGAUAGUUAUGACCCUAACAUUUGUUAAACGUAUGAUAUGUCACGAAUUACAAUUUGUUAURGCUAACAGCUAGGUGGCUAACGCUAACUAGCUCUAGGGGUUAAGGUUAGGGGAAGGGUUAGCUAARUUUCUAACGAGUUGCAACGUAGCUAWAAAGUAGUUACAAAGUUGCUAAUUUGCUAAAAUUGUCCACUUUUGUUUUUGUCUUAAGUAACCUGUCUUUUGUAACCAUACCAAACAUAACARAUUAUACUAAUUUGAGUUGUCCCAGAUUUACUUUUAAUUUGCAUUCAGGUCAAAGAGCAACAUUUUUGUCUCAUCAGACCUUUUUCCAAACUUAAGGAGUGCRUUUUAUCUGGAGUGGUUUCCAUCUGGCCACUCCCACAAAGCCCAGAUGGGUGAAGUCCUGUAGAGACUUGUCCUUCUGGCAGGUUCUCCCAUCUUAGCCAAGGAACUCUUUAGUUCUGCCAGAGUGGUCAUUGGGUUCUCUUCAGUUUCCUGACCAUCUUGACCGGUUUGGUCGGGCGGCCAGCUCGAGGCAGUCUGGGUAGUUUCAUAGUUUCAUAUCUUUUCAAUUUCCCAAUGAUGGAGACCACUGUGCUCUAGGAA